rnacentral:rRNA from 1 species
CCUACGGGGGGCAGCAGUGGGGAAUCUUGGACAAUGGGCGCAAGCCUGAUCCAGCUAUUCCGCGUGUGGGAUGACGGCCCUCGGGUUGUAAACCACUUUAGUAGAGAACGAAAAGGAGCUAUCGAAUAAAUAGCUCGGCUGACGGUACUCGAAGAAUAAGCACCGGCUAACUACGUGCCAGCAGCCGCGGUAAUACGGAGGGUGCGAGCGUUAAUCGGAAUUACUGGGCGUAAAGGGUGUGCAGGCGGGUGGGUAAGACAGAUGUGAAAUCCCCGGGCUUAACCUGGGAACUGCAUACGAGACUGGUUGGCUAGAGUGCGUCAGAGGGAGGUGGAAUUCCACGUGUAGCAGUGAAAUGCGUAGAGAUCUGGAAGAACACCGAUGGCGAAGGCAGCCUCCUGGGAAGCAACUGACGCUCAUACGCGAAAGCGUGGGGAGCAAACAGGAUUAGAUACCCGAGUAGUC